rnacentral:rRNA from 1 species
GAUGAACGCUGGCGGCGUGCCUAAUACAUGCAAGUCGAGCGAACAGACGAGGAGCUUGCUCCUUUGACGUUAGCGGCGGACGGGUGAGUAACACGUAGGUAACCUACCUAUAAGACUGGGAUAACUUCGGGAAACCGGAGCUAAUACCGGAUAAUAUUUCGAACCGCAUGGUUCGAUAGUGAAAGAUGGCUUUGCUAUCACUUAUAGAUGGACCUGCGCCGUAUUAGCUAGUUGGUAAGGUAACGGCUUACCAAGGCAACGAUACGUAGCCGACCUGAGAGGGUGAUCGGCCACACUGGAACUGAGACACGGUCCAGACUCCUACGGGAGGCAGCAGUAGGGAAUCUUCCGCAAUGGGCGAAAGCCUGACGGAGCAACGCCGCAUGAGUGAUGAAGGUCUUCGGAUCGUAAAACUCUGUUAUUAGGGAAGAACAAACGUGUAAGUAACUGUGCACGUCUUGACGGUACCUAAUCAGAAAGCCACGGCUAACUACGUG